rnacentral:rRNA from 1 species
GACGAACGCUGGCGGCGUGCCUAAUACAUGCAAGUCGAACGCUUCUUUCCUCCCGAGUGCUUGCACUCAAUUGGAAAGAGGAGUGGCGGACGGGUGAGUAACACGUGGGUAACCUACCCAUCAGAGGGGGAUAACACUUGGAAACAGGUGCUAAUACCGCAUAACAGUUUAUGCCGCAUGGCAUAAGAGUGAAAGGCGCUUUCGGGUGUCGUUGAUGGAUGGACCCGCGGUGCAUUAGCUAGUUGGUGAGGUAACGGCUCACCAAGGCCACGAUGCAUAGCCGACCUGAGAGGGUGAUCGGCCACACUGGGACUGAGACACGGCCCAGACUCCUACGGGAGGCAGCAGUAGGGAAUCUUCGGCAAUGGACGAAAGUCUGACCGAGCAACGCCGCGUGAGUGAAGAAGGUUUUCGGAUCGUAAAACUCUGUUGUUAGAGAAGAACAAGGACGUUAGUAACUGAACGUCCCCUGACGGUAUCUAACCAGAAAGCCACGGCUAACUAUGUG